GGAUUGUGGCUCAGUGGUAGAGUGCUCGCCUAGCAUGUGUGAGGCCCUGGGUUCGAUCCUCAGCACCG
rnacentral:tRNA from 1 species